CUGGAACCUUUGGAGUCAAGGAGCCGGGAGGUCAUGGAUUCAAAAUGCUGUUUUCCAUCAAGAGCCUCGGUUAACAAACAAGAAGUUGAUGAUGUCCCUGUGCUCUCCUUCCUAAGACAGAAGAGGGUCCUUACGUAUUUAACACUGAUUUUCAAAGAAAGGUGAGAUAGAGCUACUCUAAUUGGAAGCAUCUGGCUGACUUACCCCCAGGUAACCAGUGUAUGAGAAAAAUGAGGCAAGAAGAGGCUCUGAGCCAUGUAUUCAAGGUCACAAGCAGCAGAAACAAAGUCAGCUUCAUCCGAAACCAAUGCUUCUUUCUCCAUACUAACUGAUGAACUACAACAGAGUCCAGAAUAGGAUAAAACGAGAUACAUCUGGAAAGCACUGACCUUAAUAUUUGGUACACGUAAAAAUCUGUAAUGUUAAAUCUUUCUCCCCCUAAUAUUUCCACAUUUUAAAGACAUUCAA